UACAGAGGCCUCAAGCGUUAGGCGGAAUCACUGGGCUUAAAGCGUGUGUAGGCGGAUCGUUAAGUGUCUUGUGAAAUCCCACGGCUCACCCGUGGAACGGCUGGGCAUACUGGCGAUCUUGGGCCAACUAGGGGCAACUGGAACAAGCGGUGGAGCGGUGAAAUGCGUAGAUAUCGCUUGGAACGCCGAAGGUGAAAACAGGUUGCUGGGGUUGUGCCGACGCUGAGACACGAAAGCCAGGGGAGCAAACGGG
rnacentral:rRNA from 1 species